rnacentral:rRNA from 1 species
UUAAAUUGAAGAGUUUGAUCAUGGCUCAGAUUGAACGCUGGCGGCAGGCCUAACACAUGCAAGUCGAACGGUAACAGAAAGCAGCUUGCUGCUUUGCUGACGAGUGGCGGACGGGUGAGUAAUGUCUGGGAAACUGCCUGAUGGAGGGGGAUAACUACUGGAAACGGUAGCUAAUACCGCAUAACGUCGCAAGACCAAAGAGGGGGACCUUCGGGCCUCUUGCCAUCGGAUGUGCCCAGAUGGGAGUAGCUUGUUGGUGGGGUAGCGGCUAAC